UUACCAAGUCAAGCCUAUUGAAGAUCAAGAUCAAGCUUGGUUCUGUACUCAAUGUGGGAGAAGAACAUGUAGAAAUGAUUAUCUGUACUCUAUAUCACAAGAGGUCCCUAUAUUCCCCACUUUGUAUACUUUUCGAGGGGUGGUGAAUGGGAGAAUAACAUGUGAUUACUUUAUUGUUUGUGUAUAACCAUAGUAAUAAUAACCAUUGUGACAUUCUGCUUGUUAUCUCAGUUCAGGAGGAUCAAAGGU